rnacentral:rRNA from 1 species
AGAGUUUGAUCCUGGCUCAGAAUGAACGCUGGCGGCGUGCCUAACACAUGCAAGUCGGAUGUGCCUUUCGGGGUGCAUGGCAGACGGGUGAGUAACGCGUAGGGAAUCUACCUUUUCGUGGGGAAUAACGUUCCGAAAGGAAUGGUAAUACCGCAUAAGACCAAUGGCUGGGAUGCUGUUGGUGAAAGCCGGGGACCUUCGGGCCUGGCGCGAGAAGAGGAUCCUGCGUCUGAUUAGCUAGUUGGUGGGGUAACGGCCUACCAAGGCGACGAUCAGUAGCCGGCCUGAGAGGGUGAUCGGCCACACUGGAACUGAGACACGGUCCAGACUCCUACGGGAGGCAGCAGUGGGGAAUUUUGCGCAAUGGACGAAAGUCUGACGCAGCAACGCCGCGUGGGUGACGAAGGUCUUCGGAUCGUAAAACCCUGUCGUCAGGGACGAAGGUAGGGAGUUUAAUACGCUCUUUGCUUGACGGUGCCUGGAGAGGAAGCCCCGGCUAACUCUGUGCCAGCAGCCGCGGUAAUACAGAGGGGGCAAGCGUUAUUCGGAAUUAUUGGGCGUAAAGGGCGCGUAGGCGGUUCUGUAAGUAGGAUGUGCAAUCCCCGAGCUCAACUUGGGAACUGCAUCCUAGACUGCAAGACUAGAGUGCUGGAGAGGGUGGUAGAAUUCCACGUGUAGCGGUGAAAUGCGUAGAGAUGUGGAGGAAUACCAGUGACGAAGGCGGCCACCUGGACAGUAACUGACGCUGAGGCGCGAAAGUGUGGGUAGCAAACAGGAUUAGAUACCCUGGUAGUCCACGCUGUAAACGAUGAACACUUGGUGUGGCGGGAGUUGACCCCUGCCGUGCCGGAGCUAACGCGUUAAGUGUUCCGCCUGGGGAGUACGGCCGCAAGGUUAAAACUCAAAGGAAUUGACGG